rnacentral:rRNA from 1 species
CACGUAGGGCGCAAGCGUUGUCCGGAAUUAUUGGGCGUAAAGAGCUCGUAGGUGGUUUGUUACGUCCGCUGUGAAAUCCUAGGGCUUAACCCUGGGCUUGCAGUGGAUACGGGCAGACUAGAGGUAGGUAGGGGAGAAUGGAAUUCCUGGUGUAGCGGUGAAAUGCGCAGAUAUCAGGAGGAACACCGGUGGCGAAGGCGGUUCUCUGGGCCUUACCUGACGCUGAGGAGCGAAAGCAUGGGGAGCAAACAGG